GAUGAAGAACGUAGCGAAAUGCGAUACGUAAUGUGAAUUGCAGAAUUCAGUGAAUCAUCGAGUCUUUGAACGCACAUUGCGCCCCCUGGUAUUCCGGGGGGCAUGCCUGUCCGAGCGUCAUUGCUGCCCUCAAGCACGGUUUGUGUGUUGGGCCUCCGUCCUCCUCCCGGGGGACGGGCCCGAAAGGCAGCGGCGGCACCGCGUCCGGUCCUCGAGCGUAUGGGGCUUCGUCACCCGCUCUUGUAGGCCCGGCCGGCGCUUGCCGACACAUCAAUCUUUUUUCCAGGUUGACCUCGGAUCAGGUAGGGAUACCCGCUGAACUUAAGCAUAUCAAUAAGCGGAGGA
rnacentral:misc_RNA from 1 species